rnacentral:rRNA from 1 species
GAUGAACGCUGGCGGCAGGCCUAACACAUGCAAGUCGAACGAGUGGCGGACGGGUGAGUAAUGUCUGGGAAACUGCCCGAUGGAGGGGGAUAACUCCUGGAAACGGUAGCUAAUACCGCAUACCAUCGGAUGUGCCCAGCUGGGAUUAGCUAGUGGGUGGGGUAACUGCUCACCUAGGCGAUGAUCCCUAGCUGGUCUGAGAGGAUGACCAGCCAGACUGGAAAUGAGACACGGUCCAGACGCAUACGGUAGGCAGCAGUGGGGAAUAUUGCACAAUGGGCGCAAGCCUGAUGCAGCCAUGCCGCGUGUAUGAAGAAGGCCUUCGGGUUGUAAAGUACUUUCAGCGAGGAGGCGUUACUCGCAGAAGAAGCACCGGCUAACUCCGGGCCAGCAGCCGCGGUAAUUC